AUUGAACGCUGGCGGCAUGCCUUACACAUGCAAGUCGAACGGCAGCACGGGUGCUUGCUCCUGGUGGCGAGUGGCGAACGGGUGUGUAAUACAUGGGCACAUGUCCUGUAGUGGGGGAUCGUCCGGCGAAAGCCGGAUUUAUACCGCAUAAGCUCUACGGAUGAAAGCGGGGGCCCCUCGGGCCUCGCGAUCUGGGGUUGGCCGAUGGCUGAUUAGGUAGUUGGUGGGGUAAAGGCCUACCAAGGCGACGAUCAGUAGCUGGUCUGAGAGGACGACCAGCCACACUGGGACUGAGACACGGCCCAGACUCCUACGGGAGGCAGCAGUGGGGAAUUUUGGACAAUGGGCGAAAGCCUGAUCCAGCAAUGCCGCGUGUGUGAAGAAGGCCUUCGGGUUGUAAAGCACUUUUGUCCGGAAAGAAAUCCUUGGCCCUAAUACGGUCGGGGGAUGACGGUACCGGAAGAAUAAGCACCGGCUAACUACGUG
rnacentral:rRNA from 1 species